UGAUAAAAACCCUAAAAAUUCCUAGGACAAAAAAAUGGCAACUAUCCUUUCUCCUCCAAAAAUGAAACCAGCGGCAGACUUUGAGAAUUGUUAAACAAAGAGAAAAAAAGCAAAUCUUAAAAAUUUCUAAGCUAAGAAUCGGUGGCAGCAAGCAAAAAAAUAGGAUCCUAGUUACUAAAGAACGAACAGAGCUACCUCCCUUUUCCAUCUUCGCCCCCCGCUGGCGAGCUUAACCGGCAAAAUCCCAACGACUCUUUUCUCGGCGAAAGCUAACGUAUAUGCUCACAAGGAGGCAAAAAAUAGAGUUGAGGCUUUCCGGUACAAGUUGCUGUAUCGGGUUUCGGUCGUGGCCUGUUAUUUUUCUGCUCUUAGGAUAAUCGGAACAGAUUUGGAAGAACAAUUCUCAGUUGAAGCUUUAAAUUUGAAAGAUUCGAGGUGAAUUGAGGCCGAGUCGAGCGGCAUGGGCAGCAUGGUGUUGGUGUUCGUCCGGAUCGAGAUCCAGAAAUUUCUAAGCUCGGUGGCAAGUUCAUUGGAGAUAGUAAGGUAGCUGCACGGCGUUCGCAGUCUUGCCUUCCCCUCCCUAUCCUUAUUAUUUUAUAUUUCAGUCUUAUAUUGUAUUAAGCAGAUAGUGUUGAAUUCUGUUUAGUGGCUCAUGACUAGUGACACCAAAUUCCGGCUGGGUUGAUGUAUUUACAUACUUGAUUCCACGUAUUUUUGUUGAUACAUAUUAAUA